CCUACGGGAGGCAGCAGUAAGGAAUAUUGGUCAAUGGACGGAAGUCUGAACCAGCCAUGCCGCGUGCAGGAAGACGGCCCUACGGGUUGUAAACUGCUUUUGCAGGGGAAUAAACCCCGAUACGUGUAUCGGGCUGAAUGUACUCUGAGAAUAAGGAUCGGCUAACUCCGUGCCAGCAGCCGCGGUAAUACGGAGGAUCCAAGCGUUAUCCGGAUUUAUUGGGUUUAAAGGGUGCGUAGGUGGCCUGUUAAGUCAGGGGUGAAAGACGGUAGCUUAACUAUCGCAGUGCCCUUGAUACUGAUGGGCUUGAAUAAACUAGAGGUAGGCGGAAUGUGACAAGUAGCGGUGAAAUGCAUAGAUAUGUCACAGAACACCAAUUGCGAAGGCAGCUUACUAUGGUUUUAUUGACACUGAGGCACGAAAGCGUGGGGAUCAAACAGGAUUAGAUACCCUGGUAGUCCACGCCCUAAACGAUGAAUACUCGAUGUUGGCGAUAUACGGUCAGCGUCUAAGCGAAAGCGUUAAGUAUUCCACCUGGGGAGUACGCCGCAAGGGUGAAACUUAAAUUGAAUUGACGG
rnacentral:rRNA from 1 species